GAUGAACGCUGGCGGCGUGCCUAAUACAUGCAAGUCGAGCGAACAGACGAGGAGCUUGCUCCUCUGACGUUAGCGGCGGACGGGUGAGUAACACGUGGAUAACCUACCUAUAAGACUGGGAUAACUUCGGGAAACCGGAGCUAAUACCGGAUAAUAUAUUGAACCGCAUGGUUCAAUAGUGAAAGACGGUUUUGCUGUCACUUAUAGAUGGAUCCGCGCCGCAUUAGCUAGUUGGUAAGGUAACGGCUUACCAAGGCAACGAUGCGUAGCCGACCUGAGAGGGUGAUCGGCCACACUGGAACGGAGACACGGUCAAGACUCCUACGGGAGGCAGCAGUAGGGAAUCUUCCGCAAUGGGCGAAAGCCUGACGGAGCAACGCCGCGUGAGUGAUGAAGGUCUUCGGAUCGUAAAACUCUGUUAUUAGGGAAGAACAAAUGUGUAAGUAACUAUGCACGUAUUGACGGUACCUAAUCAGAAAGCCACGGCUAACUACGUG
rnacentral:rRNA from 1 species